CAGUCGCCGCGGUAAAACGAAGGGUGCAAGCGUUACUCGGAAUUACUGGGCGUAAAGCGUGCGUAGGUGGUGGUUUAAGUCCGUUGUGAAAGCCCUGGGCUCAACCUGGGAAUUGCAGUGGAUACUGGGUCACUAGAGUGUGGUAGAGGAUAGUGGAAUUUCCGGUGUAGCAGUGAAAUGCGUAGAGAUCGGAAGGAACAUCUGUGGCGAAGGCGACUAUCUGGGCCAACACUGACACUGAGGCACGAAAGCGUGGGGAGCAAACAGGAUUAGAUACCCCUGUAGUCCCGUCUCUUAUACA
rnacentral:rRNA from 1 species